AUUGAACGCUGGCGGCAGGCCUAACACAUGCAAGUCGAACGAGUGGCGGACGGGUGAGUAAUGUCUGGGAAACUGCCUGAUGGAGGGGGAUAACUACUGGAAACGGUAGCUAAUACCGCAUACCAUCGGAUGUGCCCAGAUGGGAUUAGCUAGUAGGUGGGGUAAAGGCUCACCUAGGCGACGAUCCCUAGCUGGUCUGAGGGGAUGACAUAAGAGGGGGGGUAGAGAGUGCCGUAGUGGAAUAUCCCUUGCGAGGGUAGGAGGAGAACCAGCCACGCGGGGACUGGGACACGGUCCAGACUCCUACGGGAGGGAGCGCGCAAUGGGAGCAAAGCUGAUGCAGCCAUGCCACGUGUAUGAAGAAAGCCUUCGGGUUGUAAAGUACUUUCAGCGGGGAGGAAGGGAAUAAAAUUAAUACCUUUGCUCUUGACGUUACCCGCAGAAAACACCGGCUAACUCCGUGCCAGCAGCCGCGGUAAUUC
rnacentral:rRNA from 1 species